GGUUGCGAUCAUACCAGCACUAAUGCACCGUAUUCCAUCAGAACUCCGAAGUUAAGUGUGCUUGGGCGAGAGUAAUACUAGGAGGGUGACCCCCUAAGAAGUCCUCGUGUUGCUCUUG
rnacentral:rRNA from 1 species